rnacentral:rRNA from 1 species
GAGCCUGCGUUGGAUUAGCUGGUUGGUGGGGUAAAGGCCUACCAAGGCGACGAUCCAUAGCUGGUCUGAGAGGAUGAUCAGCCACACCGGGACUGAGACACGGCCCGGACUCCUACGGGAGGCAGCAGUGGGGAAUAUUGCGCAAUGGGCGAAAGCCUGACGCAGCCAUGCCGCGUGUGUGAAGAAGGCCUUCGGGUUGUAAAGCACUUUCACUUGGGAGGAAACGUACACGGUUAAUACCCGUGAGCUUUGACGUUACCUUGAGAAGAAGCACCGGCUAACUCCGUGCCAGCAGCCGCGGUAAUACGGAGGGUGCGAGCGUUAAUCGGAAUUACUGGGCGUAAAGCGCGCGUAGGCGGAAGGUAAAGUCGGAUGUGAAAGCCCCGGGCUCAACCUGGGAAUUGCAUCCGAUACUGGCCGACUGGAGUGCGAGAGAGGGAGGUAGAAUUCCACGUGUAGCGGUGAAAUGCGUAGAUAUGUGGAGGAAUACCAGUGGCGAAGGCGGCCUCCUGGCUCGACACUGACGCUGAGGUGCGAAAGCGGUGGGGAGCAAACAGGAUUAGAUAC